CAUCCAUAAGUGGAAAGAUAAAUUUUUCUACAUUGCCACCGACCACCCAUAGGGCUUCGACUGGACCUGGAUGACUCUCAAUCUCUCCUCGAACAGAAAUGAAAUAGUCUUGAAGGAAGAUAAGGAGACAUACAAGAAGCUAUUCGAAGUUCAGAUUCCUAUGUAUCAGGAGCUGCUCAAGGAGCAAUCCCUUUAUGAUGCCGAGAUAAGCCCGACUAG
rnacentral:lncRNA from 1 species